GUCAGAGGGAAGCUCACCGUUGAGGUCACAUGCAGGGUGCUUGUCACUCGCUGUCCAAUGCCUCUGGGAAGGUCUGAGACAAGAGCCAUUAGCUGCCCUUGCAGGGCACCACCUGCUGGGGGGGGGGAGAUAGCUCAGUGGUUUGAGCAUUGGCCUGCUAAACCCAGGGUUGUGAGUUCAAUCCUUGAGGGGGCCAUUUAGGGAUCUGGGGCAAAAAUUGGGGAUUGGUCCUGCUUUGAGCAGGGGGUUGGACUAGAUGACCUCCUGAGGUCCCUUCCAACCCUGAGAUUCUAUGAUUCUUCCUUGCU
rnacentral:RNase_P_RNA from 1 species